ACAAACAGUUGUUUAUUUAGAGUUAUUUAUUAUUGUUUUCUCAUAUUUUGCAAUUGUUAAGUUGGUUUACUUCGAAUUUAAUAUGCAUUACUGUGGUAUUUCUCCAGUUUUCUAAGAAGGUUGGUGAUUUUGAAUUGGGAUUAUGAUGAAUUUAACCCAAAGGCAAUGUGUGUUUAUUUAUGUGGCAAAAUUCCAGGCACCAUAAAAAUUUGAGUUUCUUCCUGUUGCCCAUGGAUGAAAAUCGGUUUGCAGAAUGAAAAGAAAUUGUUCAAUGUGAUAAACUUUCUAUGAACAGUCCUCAAUAUUGUUACAUUAACUUUUAAAUAUGCACUUUACAUCUUGAGGAGCAGGCCUUUGCAGAAAUACUGAAAAACGGGUUGCAAAACAACGCAAAAUAAAAUAAACGAAAUAUGUCUUGAGAUUAAACAUUCAAGUUGAAGGUGUGUUCUUCCUUAAACUGGAAUGAUCAUUUUGUAAUUCUGUAGGCACAUCUAUUGAGAAGUUACAACCAGUGGCAAAGUGCCUUAAGGGAAUCUAUGACAUAUAUAAUUGAAGGGACAUCUCCUCUGAAGGAAUUACAAUUAUUUGCCAGUAUGUCAAAUGAAUUUUCAACAUCAGUCAUACUUUCAUGAAUUUAUUGAUGAAAAUAAAACUAGGUACAUGAUUUA